rnacentral:rRNA from 1 species
CAAGUACAGUGAUGGAAAGAUGAAAAGAACUUUGAAAAGAGAGUGAAAAAGUACGUGAAAUUGUUGAAAGGGAAGGGCUUGAGAUCAGANUUGGUAUUUUGCGAUCCUUUCCUUCUUGGUUGGGUUCCUCGCAGCUUACUGGGCCAGCAUCGGUUUGGGCGGUAGGAUAAUGGCGUAGGAAUGUGACUUUNCUUCGGUNAAGUGUUAUAGCCUNCGUUGAUGCUGCNNGNCUAGACCGAGGACUGCGAUUUUAUCAAGGAUGCUGGNNNAAUNA